rnacentral:rRNA from 1 species
CGGCCGUGCUUGCACGGUCUGAUUAGUGGCGAACGGGUGAGUAACACGUGAGUAACCUGCCCUCCACUUCGGGAUAACCUCGGGAAAUCGUGGCUAAUACCGGAUAUGAGCACUCAUCGCAUGGUGGGUGUUGGAAAGAUUUAUCGGUGGGGGAUGGACUCGCGGCCUAUCAGUUUGUUGGUGAGGUGAUGGCUCACCAAGACGAUGACGGGUAGCCGGCCUGAGAGGGCGACCGGCCACACUGGGACUGAGACACGGCCCAGACUCCUACGGGAGGCAGCAGUGGGGAAUAUUGCACAAUGGGCGAAAGCCUGAUGCAGCGACGCCGCGUGAGGGAUGACGGCCUUCGGGUUGUAAACCUCUUUCAGUAGGGAAGAAGCGAAAGUGACGGUACCUGCAGAAGAAGCGCCGGCUAACUACGUGCCAGCAGCCGCGGUAAUACGUAGGGCGCAAGCGUUGUCCGGAAUUAUUGGGCGUAAAGAGCUUGUAGGUGGCUUGUCGCGUCUGCCGUGAAAACCCGAGGCUCAACCUCGGGCGUGCGGUGGGUACGGGCAGGCUAGAGUGUGGUAGGGGAGACUGGAACUCCUGGUGUAGCGGUGAAAUGCGCAGAUAUCAGGAAGAACACCGAUGGCGAAGGCAGGUCUCUGGGCCAUUACUGACACUGAGAAGCGAAAGCAUGGGUAGCGAACAGGAUUAGAUACCCUGGUAGUCCAUGCCGUAAACGUUGGGCACUAGGUGUGGGGGACAUUCCACGUUUUCCGCGCCGUAGCUAACGCAUUAAGU